rnacentral:rRNA from 1 species
CCUACGGGAGGCAGCAGUGAGGAAUAUUGGUCAAUGGACGAGAGUCUGAACCAGCCAAGUAGCGUGAAGGAUGACUGCCCUAUGGGUUGUAAACUUCUUUUAUAUGGGAAUAAAAUGUUCCACGUGUGGGAUUUUGUAUGUACCAUAUGUAUAAGGAUCGGCUAACUCCGUUCCAGCAGCCGCGGUAAUACGGAGGGUCCGAGCGUUAUCCGGAUUUAUUGGGUUUAAAGGGAGCGUAGGUGGAUUGUUAAGUCAGUUGUGAAAGUGUGCGGCUCAACCGUAAAAUUGCAGUUGAAACUGGCAGUCUUGAGUACAGUAGAGGUGGGCGGAAUUCGUGGUGUAGCGGUGAAAUGCUUAGAUAUCACGAAGAACUCCGAUUGCGAAGGCAGUUCACUGGACUGCAACUGACACUGAGGCUCGAAAGUGUGGGUAUCAAACAGGAUUAGAUACCCCUGUAGUC